CUCGUAGGCGGUUUGUCACGCCUGGUGUGAAAGUCCAUCGCUUAACGGUGGAUCUGCGCCGGGUACGGGCAGGCUAGAGUGCAGCAGGGGAGAUUGGAACUCCCGGUGUAACGGUGGAAUGUGUAGAUAUCGGGAAGAACACCAAUGGCGAAGGCAGAUCUCUGGGCUGUUACUGACGCUGAGGAGCGAAAGCAUGGGGAGCGAACA
rnacentral:rRNA from 1 species